rnacentral:rRNA from 1 species
UACGUAGGGUGCAAGCGUUAAUCGGAAUUACUGGGCGUAAAGCGUGCGCAGGCGGUUUUGUAAGUCUGACGUGAAAUCCCCGGGCUUAACCUGGGAAUUGCGUUGGAGACUGCAAGGCUGGAGUCUGGCAGAGGGGGGUAGAAUUCCACGUGUAGCAGUGAAAUGCGUAGAGAUGUGGAGGAACACCGAUGGCGAAGGCAGCCCCCUGGGUCAAGACUGACG